ACCCCUUGCAAUGAGCAAAGAGACACCUUAUUGGUGGCAUUGUUCUUAUAUCAGUCAGGGGCAGAGCAGACCGGAGUCCUUUGUUCAUCCUAGCUUGAUUCCUGGCUUGGUGGCCAAAGGUAUUUUAUGCCUAAGACACUUAA